rnacentral:rRNA from 1 species
CGGGAUUAAGUGUCCUGCUUUGCAGGAAACUUGCAUACAGGUGCUGCACGGCUGUCGUCAGCUCGUGUCGUGAGUAAGUGGGUUAAGUCCCGCAACGAGCGCAACCCUCGUCCUUAGUUGCAAACAGUUCGGCUGAGAACUCUAAGGAGACUGCCUACGCAAGUAGGAGGAAGGUGAGGAUGACGUCAAGUCAUCAUGGCCCUUACGUCCAGGGCUACACACGUGCUACAAUGGGGUAUACAAAGAGCAGCAAUACGGUGACGUGGAGCAAAUCUCAAAAAUGCCUCCCAGUUCGGAUUGUAGUCUGCAACUCGACUACAUGAAGUUGGAAUCGCUAGUAAUCGUAGAUCAGCUAUGCUACGGUGAAUACGA